AUUGAACGCUGGCGGCAGGCCUAACACAUGCAAGUCGAGCGAGCGGAGGACGGGCGAGUAAUGUCUGGGAAAAUGCCUGAUGGAGCGGGAUAUCUACCGGAAACGGUAGCUAAUACCGCACACCAUCAGAUUUGUCAAGAUGGGAUUAGCUGGUCGGUGGGGUAAUGGCUCACCUAGGCGACGAUCCCUAGCUGGUCUGAGAGGAUGACCAGCCACACUGGAACUGAGACACGGGCCAGACUCCUACGGGAGGCAGCAGUGGGGAAUAUGGCAAAAUGGGGGAAAGCCGGAUGCAGCCAUGCCGAGUGUGUGAAGAAGGCCUUCGGGUUGUAAAGCACUUUCAGCGAGGAGGCGUUACCCGCAGAAGAAGCACCGGCUAACUCCGGGCCAGCAGCCGCGGUAAUAC
rnacentral:rRNA from 1 species